rnacentral:rRNA from 1 species
UACGGAGGGGGCUAGCGUUGUUCGGAAUUACUGGGCGUAAAGCGCACGUAGGCGGACCGGAAAGUCAGAGGUGAAAUCCCAGGGCUCAACCUUGGAACGGCCUUUGAAACUCCUGGUCUUGAGUUCGAGAGAGGUGAGUGGAAUUCCGAGUGUAGAGGUGAAAUUCGUAGAUAUUCGGAGGAACACCAGUGGCGAAGGCGGCUCACUGGCUCGAUACUGACGCUGAGGUGCGAAAGCGUGGGGAGCAAACGGG